GUCUUAAGGGCUGGAGCCGCAGCAUCUCUGGGCACAAGCAGCAGACACCCUGGAUAGAUGAACUUCUCAAAAUGAUCUUGUGCUCUUACGGCAGCUGAAACCAAGGCCUUCCUCAUGGCUGCAGAUAUGGAUGGAGAUGGGAAGAUCGGAUGGGAAGGUGCAAAUCUACAGUGUUUAGCACACUUUACCACAGCGCAAAAUUCUCCGAACUUCCUGAGAUGAGUGAGAAAUGAAAGUUCUUUCCUCUGGUCUUUUCUUUCGGCAGUGUAGUUUCCAAAACUGUAUUUUGAGGAUUGUGCUCUGUCUUGUCAUUGUUACUGUAAUGUUAUUGUAUGUGCUAGAAAAUAAAGAUGUUUAAACAGCUGUUGUGGCAUAUUUAAGUCAUUUUAAGGGGGAAUUCAUAAUUCCUUAAAAAUGUCAAUAGUUGU